rnacentral:RNase_P_RNA from 1 species
AAUGCAAGCCGUCUUAUCGCCCCGACUUGUCGGGGAGGAAAGUCCGGGCAACAUUGAGCAUCGUACUUCCUAACAGGAAGGUCCGCCAGCUGGCGGAACAGAUAGUGCCACAGAAAAUAAACUACUCUCGACCGACUUGUCGGCCGGAGAAAAGGUGAAAAGGUGAGGUAAGAGCUCACCGCCUCCUUGGUGACAAGAAGGGCAUGGUAAACCUUACGAGUUGAAAGACCAAAUAGGUCCCGAACAUGAGCCGCUCUGCUCAUCCAUUUAUGGAAGUCGGGAUGGGUAGGUUGAUUGAUCCUGAUGGCAACGUCAGGGCUAGAUAAAUGAUAAGACGCUGACUGAAAAGUUAGUGACAGAACCCGGCUUACAGGCUUGCAUUUUUU